GCUUGUGCACUUGAAGGGAAUUGGGUUAGAGGCUCUUUCUGGGGCUUUGGAGUCGCAGCUGGAGCUCUUGCUCUCUGCCUCCUUCCCUUCCCUUCCCUGUUCAAGGCUGAGCGGCUUUAUGGGACCUGCCAGCUCGCAUCAGAGAGACUGGGGAGUAUUCAUGCAGGCACCUGCGGAUCUUCUGGAUCAGUGAAAUGGGAAAAAGUCUUGCAUCCUGCUGUGAUUGACUGCAUACCACUUGUAUGCACAGCAUCAAUAGGUUCUGAACCAGCUCUCUAGGAACACGCAAGGAAGAGAAGCCCCAGGAGAGCACCUGAUACAACUCACAUCCUCAGGGACAAGCAAUACUAAGUGAGCAGUGGCAGUACAAUUCUUGGCUGACUUAUCCUGAGAGUGAAAACAAAGAGUAAUGCCAAUUCAAUUGCCAUCCCUCCGUAGCUUGGAUGGCCCUCGGUGACUUAAGGAGCUAAAUUACCUACUGGCAGUUGACCCGAAACUUCCCUUCUCAUUCAUAAAGACGAACACAGCCCAGAUCUACAAAUUUUGGUUCACUACUGGAUCGGGAAAACUCUGAGAAGCUUCACUAACCAUCACACAAUUCAUACAUUGCCUGCAAUCAAUUCUUUUUAUUUUUUGAUAUUUCCAAAGUACCAACAACGUUCUGCACCAGCAGGUAAAGGCAGGAAGAAAAGCUUCUUGUCACAAAGAGAUUGCCAUUUAGAUACACUGCGUACUGACAAAGGAGAGUGUAAUGGGAAGCAAAGAGUGAGCAGAGUAAUUGAAUGAUGCAUUUAAGCAUACAUUUUGUUAUCUCUGUGGAGUUUUAUGUUUGUUUUCUUCUUGACUUAUUGAAUUCGGUGUUCAUACUUUUCAAUCAUUCAUUAGCUAAACAGUUCUCUUGUGGCUUGCCUAGAUUAGGAAAUGAGGACUGGGACAAGUUAAAACUAAGAAAAAGGUGGGUAUUUUCUUAAGCAAAGGCAGCUCACAUCACUUCUGGAACACCUCUCUCUACUUGCUCAUUAGCAUUUACCAGAGAGCUGCCUGAUGCCUACAUUCUGCAGAAUUAGGUUUUUUUCUUAACCCCAGUGAAGUCUUUACAGACAAGACAGUUUGCUACAGACAUUGCAAGCUGGCCAGCCAACACUCAGGCAACCAAAUCACUGGGAUUUGGACCAUAAAAACAAUUUAGGCAAAAUCUGAAACAUGAGUGAUCUUUUUAGCAUCUCUCAGUCUAUGAGAAGUUAUUCUAUGAAACAGCAUAAUGGAAAGGAUUAAGGAGAGGACUAUUUUUCCUCCCCACAAGGAAUUGUUAAAAGGACAAAUUGCUACAAUCCAUCCUGCAUGAUUUUAGAAUUUUUCAAAGACUUUGUCCACACCUGAACCAUGUACCCACCCACCCUUCUCCUCAACUAGUUUUUCUCCCCACUGAGGAGAAUGCAAUCCAUACAAUCUAUUUUAAAUGUUUACCAGUUGUUUGGAAAAGUUCCUGCUUUUCUCUACUGGCCAUAAAGAAAUACAGAAUGUCCAGACCUAACCAGGACACUUGCAGAGUUCAUACUGAUAAAUCAUAUUUAAACAUAUUUAAAACACACUUUAUUUGUAGCCAUCCUUAUUUAAAGGAACCUAACAGUAACAUCAGAACACUGAGCAUGCAGAGCUAAGAUGGUCUCCAAACUAGGUCAUGAAAAUAUUUCCAACAGUGAUUUUAUCCCAUUCUAUCACAACAGUACAAAAGUACAAAUGGUUAAACUUUUUAGUGAGGCAAGCAAAGACUGGUUGCACUGUGGCACUUUUUUCAAUACCAAAUACGAAAAAGUCUACUAAUAAAUCUUACAGGAAUAUGGCUAAUUAACAGAAAAGAUGUGCUUAUGAUUGUGGACACUGUAAUCUCUCAGGGCAAUAAUCAUAUCUUCCUAUGUGCUUGUCCCUUUAUAGGGAAUAAAAAUAUCCCAACUCACCAA